UACGUAGGGUGCGAGCGUUAAUCGGAAUUACUGGGCGUAAAGCGUGCGCAGGCGGUUUUGUAAGCCAGAUGUGAAAUCCCCGGGCUCAACCUGGGAAUGGCAUUUGGGACUGCAAGGCUGGAGUGCGGCAGAGGAGACUGGAAUUCCUGGUGUAGCAGUGAAGUGCGUAGAUAUCAGGAGGAAUACCGAUGGCGAAGGCAGGUCUCUGGGCUGAUACUGACGCUCAUGCACGAAAGCGUGGGGAGCAAACAGG
rnacentral:rRNA from 1 species